UUUCCGUAGGUGAACCUGCGGAAGGAUCAUUACCGAGUUAGGGUCCCCUCGUGGGGCCCGACCUCCCAACCCCAUGUGAACCGAAACCUGUUGCUUCGGGGGCGACCCUGCCGUUCGGCGCGGCGCCCCCGGAGGCUCAUCAAACACUGCAUCUCUGCGUCGGAGUCUUAAUGAAUUUAAACAAAACUUUUAACAACGGAUCUCUUGGUUCUGGCAUCGAUGAAGAACGCAGC
rnacentral:misc_RNA from 1 species